rnacentral:tRNA from 2 species
GCUGAGGUGGCGGAAUUGGUAGACGCGCCAGACUUAGGAUCUGGUGCCCAAAAGGCAUGCGAGUUCGAGUCUCGCCCUCAGCACCA